rnacentral:rRNA from 1 species
CCUACGGGAGGCAGCAGUGAGGAAUAUUGGUCAAUGGACGAGAGUCUGAACCAGCCAAGUAGCGUGAAGGAUGACUGCCCUAUGGGUUGUAAACUUCUUUUAUAUGGGAAUAAAAUGUUUCACGUGUGGGAUUUUGUCUGUACCAUAUGAAUAAGGAUCGGCUAACUCCGUGCCAGCAGCCGCGGUAAUACGGAGGAUCCGAGCGUUAUCCGGAUUUAUUGGGUUUAAAGGGAGCGUAGGUGGAUUGUUAAGUCAGUUGUGAAAGUUUGCGGCUCAACCGUAAAAUUGCAGUUGAUACUGGCAGUCUAGAGUACAGUAGAGGUAGGCGGAAUUCGUGGUGUAGCGGUGAAAUGCUUAGAUAUCACGAAGAACUCCGAUAGCGAAGGCAGCUCACUGGACUGCAACUGACACUGAGGCUCGAAAGUGUGGGUAUCAAACAGGAUUAGAUACCCUAGUAGUC